rnacentral:lncRNA from 1 species
UUUCGAAACAGUGCUGGGGAAUGAACAAAAGGUAGACAAAUGCUCCAUCACUGAACUGUGCAUCCCAACUUAAAUUCUAGGAAUAGAUGACGACACUGGAUACAUGUAUCAAACAAUUGAAGAACAGGAAAGGCUCACCAACUUCUGACAAAAAUCCUAAUGAGUGCAGUAGUGCUGUGGAUCUUUAGAGCUAACCAACUAUUUUCUGACUGAGAUGCAUGCUUGGCACUGCUGAUCUGAUCUAAGGAGGUCAUAAGUAAUGUGUGUGGAAUCUUAUACUGACGGUUUGACAAGUAGGAACCCAUGAAAUUGCCUUCUUACACACAGAGCUAACUGGGUGAAUUUUUCAAUGUUAGUUUGAGAAUCCCCUUUUGGCAAUGGCUGAUCAUUAAAUUUGAG